rnacentral:rRNA from 1 species
GUAGGCUGGUUUUCCAGGCAAAUCCGGAAAAUCAAGGCUGAGGCGUGAUGACGAGGCACUACGGUGCUGAAGCAACAAAUGCCCUGCUUCCAGGAAAAGCCUCUAAGCAUCAGGUAACAUCAAAUCGUACCCCAAACCGACACAGGUGGUCAGGUAGAGAAUACCAAGGCGCUUGAGAGAACUCGGGUGAAGGAACUAGGCAAAAUGGUGCCGUAACUUCGGGAGAAGGCACGCUGAUAUGUAGGUGAAGUCCCUCGCGGAUGGAGCUGAAAUCAGUCGAAGAUACCAGCUGGCUGCAACUGUUUAUUAAAAACACAGCACUGUGCAAACACGAAAGUGGACGUAUACGGUGUGACGCCUGCCCGGUGCCGGAAGGUUAAUUGAUGGGGUCAGCGCAAGCGAAGCUCUUGAUCGAAGCCCCGGUAAACGGCGGCCGUAACUAUAACGGUCCUAAGGUAGCGAAAUUCCUUGUCGGGUAAGUUCCGACCUGCACGAAUGGCGUAAUGAUGGCCAGGCUGUCUCCACCCGAGACUCAGUGAAAUUGAACUCGCUGUGAAGAUGCAGUGUACCCGCGGCAAGACGGAAAGACCCCGUGAACCUUUACUAUAGCUUGACACUGAACAUUGAGCCUUGAUGUGUAGGAUAGGUGGGAGGCUUUGAAGUGUGGACGCCAGUCUGCAUGGAGCCGACCUUGAAAUACCACCCUUUAAUGUUUGAUGUUCUAACGUGGACCCGUGAUCCGGGUUGCGGACAGUGUCUGGUGGGUAGUUUGACUGGGGCGGUCUCCUCCUAAAGAGUAACGGAGGAGCACGAAGGUUGGCUAAUCCUGGUCGGACAUCAGGAGGUUAGUGCAAUGGCAUAAGCCAGCUUGACUGCGAGCGUGACGGCGCGAGCAGGUGCGAAAGCAGGUCAUAGUGAUCCGGUGGUUCUGAAUGGAAGGGCCAUCGCUCAACGGAUAAAAGGUACUCCGGGGAUAACAGGCUGAUACCGCCCAAGAGUUCAUAUCGACGGCGGUGUUUGGCACCUCGAUGUCGGCUCAUCACAUCCUGGGGCUGAAGUAGGUCCCAAGGGUAUGGCUGUUCGCCAUUUAAAGUGGUACGCGAGCUGGGUUUAGAACGUCGUGAGACAGUUCGGUCCCUAUCUGCCGUGGGCGCUGGAGAACUGAGGGGGGCUGCUCCUAGUACGAGAGGACCGGAGUGGACGCAUCACUGGUGUUCGGGUUGUCAUGCCAAUGGCACUGCCCGGUAGCUAAAUGCGGAAGAGAUAAGUGCUGAAAGCAUCUAAGCACGAAACUUGCCCCGAGAUGAGUUCUCCCUGACCCUUUAAGGGUCCUGAAGGAACGUUGAAGACGACGACGUUGAUAGGCCGGGUGUGUAAGCGCAGCGAUGCGUUGAGCUAACCGGUACUAAUGAACCGUGAGGCUUAACCUU